rnacentral:rRNA from 1 species
UUUAAAGUCUGACCUGCCCAAUGAGGAUUUAAAUGGCCGCGGUAUUUUGACCGUGCAAAGGUAGCAUAAUCAUUAGUUUUUUAAUUGGAAGCUGGAAUGAAUGGUUGGACGAGGGAAUAACUGUCUCAAUUUGAUUUAAUUAGAAUUUUAUUUUUAAGUAAAAAAGCUUAAAUGUAUUUAAAAGACGAGAAGACCCUAUAGAGUUUAAUAUUUUAUUUAAUUGAAUUUUUAAGAAUUAAUUUUAUUAGUUAAUUAAAAGUAUUUUGUUGGGGUGACAGAAAAAUUAAGUUAACUUUUUUUAUAUUUAAUCAUUAAUUGGUGGUUGGCUGAUCCGUUUAAGAACGAUUAUAAGAUCAAAUUACCUUAGGGAUAACAGCGUAAUUUUUUUUGAGAGUUCUUAUCGAAAAAAGAGUUUGCGACCUCGAUGUUGGAUUAAAAUUAAUUUUUGGUGUAGAAGCUGAAAUAUUGGGUCUGUUCGACCUUUAAAAUUUUACAUGAUCUGAGUUUAAACCGGCGUAAGCCAGGUUGGUUUCUAUCUUUAAAAAUAUAAAAUAUUUUAGUACGAAAGGACCAAAUAUUUAUAAUAUUUAUUUGUUUUUGAUCAUUAUUAAG